AGCAAAGCCAGUAGCAGCACCUGCAAGCACCCGGAGGCAGAACAUCUCUCAGUUGGAGCUGUUGCUCAGGAACACACAGAGGACAGGAAAGGAAGAUUCCCCCAUUCAGCGUGGUUUCAACCUCACAAAGGAACUUUAGAUUUAACAAAGAAGAUAAUAGCAAAGAGAGUUCAAUAAGGAUAUUGGAAGCCACAUUGCAGGGAUAGGUGCAAGGUAUCCCUCUGAGGAAAGCAAAGUUACCAUGUUGUUCCUGGUGUUAAACUGAGGCUCUCCAAGCUGUGAACACCUAGUUUGCUUAUGUGGCUGUCGGUUUGGGGAAUGUGACUCAACAGUGAGAAUGGUGUGGAAAGAAAAGAUUCAGCUCCCUAGUUUUGCAGUAGCAUUAAGAUGACCUGCACCUUUGGUUUAUUUUAAUAUGAAGUGUUCAACUGUGCUCCUGCUGAAAUCUUGUUUCUCAGGUAACCGGGGACCUUUAAGAUCAAGUCUUUGUUGUCUGCCCAAUUUGGCCUCCUUGAAUUUAGAGACUUAGUAGGAGGAAGAGAAGAAAGAAGCCAGAUAACAGGAAAAAGACCACUGGGAAGAUCAGUGUGCAUGGAUCAGCGGGAUGCUGGAACUGUAAAGUACAGCAUGCAUGUCUCCCUCACAUCUCACACAGCUCAGUCUUAGUGAUCAAAUCAUGUCCAGGCUAGAACAGCUAAGGUGAGAGAGACUUUGGGAAAAUUUGCAUUCUCAGGAACUUUGUGUGAUACAUAUGAGUUGACUCUGAAUGACAAACAUGGCAGAAGUAAAAAUGAGUCUGUUUGUGGCUGAUGGAACGAAGCUGCCCCAUUAGUGCCAGAGCUGUGAGCUACAUUGGGGUGUAUGGCUGAUGUACUGCAGAAAGCAGCCUCUUCUGCUGUCAGAAACAGUGCUCAAGGGAUUGAAACUACUCCAGCUGUGGGAAGCUGCUGUUCACUUGGAUGCUUUCUCCAGCGUCAUAAUGCAUUGUCUGGAACCAGCACAGGAAAGAGGCUUUGGGCUCCGGGAGGUAUUCUGGGAACAAAGGAAGGUUCAAGGUACCCAUCCUGCCAAGUUAAGUACUCAUGAAAAUAAAUGUAAGUGCAUUUGAAUAUCUAGUUUAAUACUGAAAUAUAGAUAAUAUAUACAUGGCCAAAUAGUACAGAGAAGGCAUA